ACUGGAAGCUGCUGGGACCAGUCAUGGGCAAAAUAAUUUUUUUUUUGUCCACUCUUGCAGUCUUCCUAGAGCAAAAUGGAGGUCUCUGUCUGCUUUAGGACAGACAACUAAAUCAGAUCGUUCCCCUCCAUACAYG